UUCUCCACAUCCCAGCUGUGACCAGUCUCCCCACAGCUGGCCUCCACAAUGGGGUCCUUCGAGAAAUAGAGUAGCACCAGGCCUUGGUGAGACAAGUCUGCCUAGACAGCUGCUGGCCGCCCUGAGCUGAGGCAGCGGAGCCAGUUCCUUUUGCCGCCGUCAAGCCGGCACUGUGGAAACAAUCGAGGAGCCCCCAGGGUGGGUGAAUUGGAGGACGCUGUGGAGGUGAGGGGCUCACGCAUGCCUUACCUCACUGCAUGCCAGCGUGUGAGAUGCCCUGGCACGUGACCCCACUGCUGGCUCUUCCUCCACCUCGGCACGUCCGCCACGGAGCUUCCCAUUGGCUAGAAGGGGAUCGGCUCCCGGCUGGAGGUAACUGUCCCUGCAGUUUAGAGCAACACCACACAUGCACCAUCAGCUGCUCACGCUGUAUUUUUGUGUAACCUAGGUGACCCCAUGCUGCAGGAAUAAAUAAUGCACAUUUUCUGGACAUUCAAAAUGUACAUUAUAUGCAUUAUAUAAAAAAGAAACAGUUUCACAAAACUUUGCGAAUAAAGCAAAUUUAUGCUGAGGCCAGUACUGUACCAGUCCUAGCAAUGUGGCACCCUAGGGGAGCAUCAUCGCCAGCGCCCCCUGUCUGAGGGUAAGUGAAAUUGGCUGGCAAGCCAGCGCCCCCUGAGAAGGCGGUGCCUUAGGCAGCCGCGUAUGUCACCUGUGGAAUUGACCAACUCUGGCUGAUACAUUUCUGAAUAUUGUACCUCUGCCCAACACACAUAGACAGCGAUCGAUCGCUAUAAAAACUUUCCUCCGAGUGACAAUGAGUCUUUACCUGUGCAGCGCCCCUCCGUUUUUGGUGCAGUGUACAGUAAGGCCUCUUUCAGCAGGCAGGGUGUUAUGAUGGCCAGUAUGGGUUCCUGGGCCUUCUUCACCAGCCACACACAUUCUCCAGAUACUGCUCCUCUGUGUUGGGAUAUCAUCAGAGUUACAAAGGAGCCUCUGUGAGGGGUAAAUGUUUUCUUUAUGAAAAAAUCAAGCCCUCCCACUAACAAGAGUCCGAAUGGCUAACUAAGCCCGUAAACAGCACACUUUCAUCUGACCAGAAUCCAGAGCUUCAGAGCAGCAUGUUGGAGCCAGAAAUGGAAAAGCGAAGCUCAUUAAACUGGGAGUGCCGGUUAGACAAAUGGGUUACUCUUUACUUGAGGGGUCACAAGUACUUAAUAGUCACUCUGUUACUACUGAAGUACAAAUCAUGUACAAAUAUAGUAAAAGACGCGUCAUGGUUCAUUAAUGAUGAAUAAAUAUGAGAUUGGUAUUUAA